CCUGAAGCCGUUGACGGCCGCGGACGAGCAUGGCUGCUCUACAUCCGGGGUUUCGCCGUCACUUCAUUUUGCUCAAAGGGUCCUGUGCAGCAACGGGGACGCCAUUGAGUGUCGUUGGCGUGUCGACCACUUCCCAGGUUCUAGCAGAUUGUUGGUGGAGACCGCUACAGCAGGCUCGUGCAGACUGGUGGUGUUGGUGGGGACCGCUACAGCCAUCGGAAGGGAUUUGGCAGGAGGUGGAGCCUUCUUUGCUUGACUUUUACUGCCAAGGAUGGAAGGUUUGAUUUCAUAGUCAUGGCCUCUUCCACUAGUUCACUGACUGAGCACUCCAUUAGGGCUUCUGAUGUCCUGGCCCGG